rnacentral:rRNA from 1 species
GUGAGGAAUAUUGGUCAAUGGAGGCAACUCUGAACCAGCCAAGUCGCGUGAAGGAUGAAGGUCUUAUGGAUUGUAAACUUCUUUUGUAAGGGAAUAAAGUGGGGGACGUGUCCUCUUUUGCAUGUACCUUACGAAUAAGGAUCGGCUAACUCCGUGCCAGCAGCCGCGGUAAUACGGAGGAUCCGAGCGUUAUCCGGAUUUAUUGGGUUUAAAGGGUGCGCAGGCGGGAUGUUAAGUCGGCGGUGAAAUUUUGCAGCUCAACUGUAAAAGUGCCUUCGAUACUGGCUUUCUUGAGUGUGGAUGAAGUAGGCGGAAUUUGUGGUGUAGCGGUGAAAUGCUUAGAUAUCACGAGGAACUCCGAUUGCGCAGGCAGCUUACUAAACCACUACUGACGCUCAUGCACGAAGGCGUGGGGAUCAAACAGG